CCAAGCUGUCUGUGCUCCCACUGAUCACUUUUCUACCGACGGCGUGUUUGCAGCGCGCAUGCCCAUACUGUACUACAUCCCAUCGACUAGAACACACAACUGACAGACCUAGCAGCCAUACGAGAGAAGGUUUCUGGGUGGCGAGACUGUGUUAUAUAUCAGUGUGUCUACACAUUGCGGACCACACACACACUCACACAACCUUCGUUUAGCGUGCAACCGUUUCUAACUUUUGCACACUCGGCAUCGUAGUUACAUAUACUUGCGUGAGAACAGUGCAGAGGACAGUUGCAGAAGCAAAGGGAGAAAGACAGGGAGCGAGUUGGCGUGAAAACCAGAUUUUGGAGGACGUCGACACUGCCUACAAUCGAAGGUAUCUUGAGUGAAGAGUGACCAGCUGUGAGCAUCGUUAAAGAGAAGAUUUGACAACAAGACAUCCAAGCAGAGUUGCAUUAACAGAGGAAGAUAAAGUAUUCCGAACUUUUUAAAGCAGAAAAAACGUAAAAUGUACUCCAAACUGGAUAAAAUUAACUAUAAGAAAAUAUUCUUGAAAACAAGAUUGACAAUGUAAAAUAUUAUCGAGUUGUAAAAUCUUAUCCGAAAUUAUAUCGAAUUUCAUUUUCUGAGUUCCGAAAUAUAUUUCAAAUCAGAUUUUUUUUAACAUAAAAGAAAUCCACAGACAAGUAAAUUUACGAAAAGAAAUACAUUCUUAGUCUUCGGCCUGAAAGGUAAAGUUAAAAUAGAGAACUCGCGAAAGAACGAGAUUUUCUAAAGUAAAACAAGAUUUUUAUAAAGAGAACUUUCUGAAAAAUAGUAUUAUCGAUUGAAGUAAAUUGAAUGGU